GCUAUACAUGACUCUGCGCAUAUCAAUAAGCGGAGGAAAAGUCAUACAUUAUACCUACGCUUAGGAUGUUGAAGAUAUGCGCGACACGGCUCUAUACAUGACUCUGCGCAUAUCAAUAAGCGGAGGAAAAGAAACUAACUAGGAUUCCCUUAGUAACGGCGAGUGAAGCGGGAAGAGCUCAAAUUUGAAAUCUUCAAGGUUCUACCUUGACGAAUUGUAGUUUAAAGAAGUGUUUUCUGUUGGAGUUUUGGUAAAAGUUCUUUGGAAUAGGACAUCAUAGAGGGUGAGAAUCCCGUAUUUGACCAUUUCUUCCAGCUGUGUGAUACACUUUCAAAGAGUCGGAUUGUUUGGGAAUGCAGUCCAAAAUGGGUGGUGAAUUUCAUCUAAAGCUAAAUAUUGGCGAGAGACCGAUAGCGAACAAGUACCGUGAGGGAAAGAUGAAAAGAACUUUGAAAAGAGAGUUAAACAGUACGUGAAAUUGUCAAAAGGGAAGCGUUUGACACCAGUGUUGUUUUCUCGAAAAUCAAUUACGAAUGUUUUGUUUUUGAGGAGUUAUGGCUUCAUCGGCUUGCUCCUUUCUUUACGAAACUUUCUUAAUGCACUUUUCGGUUAACAAGUCAACAUCAAUUUCUUUUGCUGUAAAAGGGUAAGAGGAAGGUGGCUUCAGCUUCGGUUGAAGUGUUUAUAGCCUUUUACCUCUGCAGUCGGAGAGAUUGAGGUCUGCAGCGUAGACUCUUCGGGGUUAGAUACAUUUGUGCUAAGUUAUAGCUUUUCAUAGACAACUUGUUGACUAUGUUUAGUCUUGUAGCUUACUCGCUUAUGCUAUUUUACCUACGCUUAGGAUGUUGAAGAUAUGCGCGACACG
rnacentral:rRNA from 1 species